UUAAAUAGUAAAAUAUUAUAUACCGGUUACUCACUGAAGCUAAGCAGGGCUGAGCCUGGUCAGUACCUGGAUGGGAGACCACUAGGGAACACUAGGUUGCUGUUGGAA
rnacentral:rRNA from 1 species